rnacentral:tRNA from 3 species
GGCUGUAGCUCAGCUGGAUAGAGUGUUUGGCUACGAACCAAAAGGUCGGGGGUUCGAAUCCCUUCAGCC